AAAUUAUUUAAAUUACUAUGAAAUUACUAUGAACUCAUUAUGUGUGACUUGAAGGAUUUUGUUCACUGACACAUUUAUUAGCGGAAUUAAAAUAUAGGGCAGAAAGUUGCAUCAGGAUGGUUUAAUUGUCAGGUCAAUGAAUUUGCAAAAGAUAUGAGGUUGGAUGUUUGCUCAGGUGUUAACACACAUUUCCCUAUUACAUAACAGAUUACCAAAGAAAAGAUACAGUAUAAAUAACAGACAAUUAAAAUAAGAUUAGAACAGCAUCACAUCAAACAGAAAUAGAUUUACCCGAAAAAUAUUUACAAAGAAUCAGAACACAAUGCAAACAUGGAACAAAUGACAAUUAAACAUAUUCAGGAUCAUUUCUGAGAAUUUUGUAUAAACUAAUUUUUAGUUUUAUCCUAUUCUAACUCUGUUACUAUUAUUUUAAAUUUUAACUAGUAGAUAGAAUUUUAAAUAACGCAAUUUUAAAAAUAAACAAAAUUUUUAAAUGCGGUGACCCUGCAGAUAGGGUGGACUUCCUGAAGAAGAAGAAG
rnacentral:lncRNA from 1 species